rnacentral:rRNA from 1 species
AUAACAGUCAGAAAUGACUGCUAAUACCGCAUAAGACCACAGCACUGCAUGGUGCAGGGGUAAAAACUCCGGUGGUACAGGAUGGACCCGCGUCUGAUUAGCUGGUUGGUGAGGUAACGGCUCACCAAGGCGACGAUCAGUAGCCGGCUUGAGAGAGUGAACGGCCACAUUGGGACUGAGACACGGCCCAAACUCCUACGGGAGGCAGCAGUGGGGAAUAUUGCACAAUGGGGGGAACCCUGAUGCAGCGACGCCGCGUGAGUGAAGAAGUAUUUCGGUAUGUAAAGCUCUAUCAGCAGGGAAGAAAAUGACGGUACCUGACUAAGAAGCCCCGGCUAACUACGUGCCAGCAGCCGCGGUAAUACGUAGGGGGCAAGCGUUAUCCGGAAUUACUGGGUGUAAAGGGUGCGUAGGUGGUAUGGCAAGUCAGAAGUGAAAACCCAGGGCUUAACUCUGGGACUGCUUUUGAAACUGUCAGACUGGAGUGCAGGAGAGGUAAGCGGAAUUCCUAGUGUAGCGGUGAAAUGCGUAGAUAUUAGGAGGAACAUCAGUGGCGAAGGCGGCUUACUGGACUGAAACUGACACUGAGGCACGAAAGCGUGGGGAGCAAACAGGAUUAGAUACCCUGGUAGUCCACGCCGU